rnacentral:rRNA from 1 species
UACGGGGGGGGGCAAGCGUUGUUCGGAAUUACUGGGCGUAAAGGGCUCGUAGGCGGCCAACUAAGUCAGACGUGAAAUCCCUCGGCUUAACCGGGGAACUGCAUCUGAUACUGGAUGGCUUGAGUUCGGGAGAGGGAUGCGGAAUUCCAGGUGUAGCGGUGAAAUGCGUAGAUAUCUGGAGGAACACCGGUGGCGAAGGCGGCAUCCUGGACCGGCAUUGACGCUGAGGAGCGAAAAGCUAGGGGAGCAAACGGGG